CCCGGUUAAGACACAUGGUUCAGUCCACACCUGCAUCAUAACGAGGUUGAGGUCGUUAGAUGCCGAAAUGUAGAGUUCUGAAGUGGAGGCAAGAAAGAAAGAAAGAAGGAAAGAAGGAGCACACACUGACUGAACACGGAACGAGAGACUCCUGAGAGCCAGAGCUGGCAGAAAUCCACCUGAGACUGAAGACACGUGAGUCCAGGUGAUCAGGAAGAGGAAGCGUCGCUGUCCUGAAUGUUUUUCUGCCAAGACUAAAAGACUGCAGUGGAAAUGAUUUGGGGUGUAAAUUCGAGAUCAUCCAUCGACUUAAAUCGCCAUUCAGUGCAGCCAAAAUCCAGGUCUGUGUGGUGGAAGAGACGCAACCAUCUGGAUUGACUGCUAUUCUACAUUGGGCUCUUGCCUCCAAUUUUACCAUCUGAGAGCAUAAAUAAUGCAGAAUUCCUUCCUCAUUGCGUGCUGCUCGCCACUUGCUGGUCUCACCUGCGGUCCACUCCUGUUUGCUUCCAUUUGGAUUUUCUGGCUCUGUUAAGUGAUAAAGAUGGUGGUCCAUGGUGAGCCCAGAGUCCAGGCUUCACAACCUCCCUUCAGAAACUGGAAGUUCAUCGUAGGUGACAAGCCUUGAGAUGUUAAGGUCACGUCUGACUUGUUUUGUUGCUUGAACUGUCCAGUAAGACAGCUGAAUUUGGCCCAAGUGUAUCAACUGAGGGAGGAAGAGGAGGCUGCUGAGUCUGCAUCACCCCGACUGCUCACCAGACUCAUCAUCUUCUUGGCUACAGACAGGGACACAAGUUUAGACAACAGGAACAGGCUGAAUAGAUACUUUAGAUAGACUUAGAUCUUUUAAUUGAUUGCUUAAUUUUAUGUUGAUGAACCAUUUGAUGUUAAAUGUGCUCUUUGUAUCAAUUUUACUAUGAAUAAAUCAUUUAAGAGUA